CCCCAGGUUCAAGAGUAAGGGCUCUCCUCUUCUUCAGCUUUCAUAGCCUCAGGAACAUCCGGAUCUUCUGAACUCCGGGCUCCUCUCAUGGUUUGGUGCGCACACAGACAGCUCUUCAAAGUUGAGGCUAUCAAACUGCCAGGAACCUGAUCAGGUGGUAAACGGUUAAUAGGCAGUGUUGUGAAAUUACUCUGUAUGGGAUCUGGAGUUUCAAAGAUUAUGUUUGCAUACUCAUGAGCCAAAGGAUAAGAGAAAGUCCACUCCCUCCUGAUCCAGAGUGCUGACUUUAGACCUGGGUCUUUCUUUCCUCCAAAGAGAUGAAUAGUCCUUUUGUGAUGCCAAAUGAGAAGGCAGUAGUUGCUAGAAAAGAGAUCAAGCAUGAGGUCAUGUAGCUGCUCUAAACUCAUUUCCUCCAAGACGGUGGUACGUUGACUUUAUACAGAAGGGAUAUGGAGGACGUCAUCCUUAAUGAGAAGGAAGAACAGCACCUUUGUAAGUCAUAGUCCUCCCGACAGACGCCAGACAACCCUACAGAGGGAUUGAACCCUGCAUUGCGCGAUUGCACAUUCGUCCUUGUAUGGCUAGCGUUCCUUCACAAUCAUUCAACUGUUAUCCAAAGGGGGAGUGAGGUUGGAAAGAAACACUACACCUAUGAUUACAUAAUUGACUUCUUCCUGCCACGGAAAUCUGUAUUCACUGAGACACUCGCAUCCCUGAAAUGACUGCACUCACGUGAGAGCUGCCCCGGCUUUUCCCUUCCUUUUCCUUGUGUUCUCGAAGGAGAAAGGAUUGGAGGGUAAGCCUGAUUGAGGCUUUCCCUCAAAAUAACAAAACAGUUGGCAAGACAGAGACCAA